AGACCUUUGCCAACACUCUGGCCUUUAUCCCUUUCCUUUUGGAAAGCUAUCACCAGGAUAAUGUGCCUAUUUUGGUGCAAAGAAGAUCAAAUCUUCACAGAAUGACACACUACUCACCACGGCAUUCCCGACAUCCAAAUGGAUGCAGUGGUCCAUCAUCCUUUGUGUCUACAA
rnacentral:snoRNA from 1 species